rnacentral:rRNA from 1 species
UACGGAGGGUGCAAACGUUGCUCGGAAUUACUGGGCGUAAAGCGCUCGUAGGCGGUUGCUCAAGUCAGAUGUGAAAUCCCCGAGCUUAACUUGGGAAGUGCAUUUGAAACUGGGCGGCUAGAGGAUGGGAGGGGGUAGCGGAAUUCCCGGUGUAGAGGUGAAAUUCGUAGAUAUCGGGAGGAACACCAGAGGCGAAGGCGGCUACCUGGACCAUACCUGACGCUGAGGAGCGAAAGCGUGGGGAGCAAACAGG